rnacentral:rRNA from 1 species
AGAGUUUGAUCAUGGCUCAGAAUCAACGCUGGCGGCGCGCUUAACACAUGCAAGUCGAACGAGAAAGGGGAGCAAUCCCUGAGUAAAGUGGCGUACGGGUGAGUAACACGUGGGUGAUCUACCUGUUAGUGGGGAAUAACUCCGCGAAAGUGAAGCUAAUACCGCAUAAUCCCGCAAGGGGAAAGUAGUAAUACGCUGACAGAGGAGCCCGCGGCUGAUUAGCUAGUUGGUGAGGUAAUGGCUCACCAAGGCUGCGAUCGGUAGCCGGCCUGAGAGGGCACACGGCCACACUGGCACUGAAACACGGGCCAGACUCCUACGGGAGGCAGCAGUGGGGAAUCUUGCACAAUGGGGGAAACCCUGAUGCAGCGACGCCGCGUGAGCGAUGAAGUCCUUCGGGGAUGUAAAGCUCUUUCGACGGGAACGAUAAUGACGGUACCCGGAGAAGAAGCUGCGGCUAACUACGUGCCAGCAGCCGCGGUAAUACGUAGGCAGCGAGCGUUGUUCGGAAUUACUGGGCGUAAAGAGUGUGUAGGCGGUUUGGUAAGUUUGGUGUGAAAUCUCCCGGCUUAACUGGGAGGGUGCGCCGAAAACUGCCAGACUAGAGUGCCGGAGAGGAAAGCGGAAUUCCUGGUGUAGCGGUGAAAUGCGUAGAUAUCAGGAGGAACACCGGUGGUGUAGACGGCUUUCUGGACGGCCACUGACGCUGAGACACGAAAGCGUGGGGAGAAANNGGAUUAGAUACCCUAGUAGUCC